GACCCAAAGGCACAGUUGGUAGUGCACCCACUAGCAUCGGGUAUGCUUGGAUGUAGAUUCAGUGGGAGACUCUCGUUCGAACCGAAGCUGGGUCA